UAGCUCUAAAGCUUUAUAUUAUAAAUUGAUGUGAUAGAAUUAGCCUAAAUAAAAAAUUGUUUUAACUAAAAAAUCCUUUCGUACUAAAAUAGUUUUUUUUUACUUAAAGAUAGAAACCAACCUGGCUUACACCGGUUUGAACUCAAAUCAUGUAAAGUUUUAAAGGUCGAACAGACCUACCUAUAUAAUUACUGCACUAUAGUGGGACUUUAAUUCAACAUCGAGGUCGCAAACUUUUUUGUCGAUAUGAACUCUCAAAAAAAAUAACGCUGUUAUCCCUAAAGUAACUUUUUCUUUAGAUCUUAAAAAAGGGUCAUAAUAAUCAAAUAUAAUUGUUUUGAUAAUAAAGCAGUUAAAUAUGUGCUUUCGUCGCCCCAACGAAAUAUAGUUAAGUAUUAUUUUUUUUAUACUUAUAAAUUAAAAAUAAAACUUAGCUAAAUAAAGUUUUAUAGGGUCUUGUCGUCUUUUAAGAUUAUUUAAGCCUUUUCACUUAAAAGUUAAUUUCAAUUUAUAAACCUGAGACAGGUUACUUUUUGUCCGACCGUUCAUUCCAGUCUUCAAUUAAAAGACUAAUUAUUAUGCUACCUUCGCACGGUCAUUAUACCGCGGCCUUUAAAAAUUCAGUGGGCAGGCCAGACUGUAAAUAUUAUCAAACAGACAUGUUUUUGAUAAACAGGCAAAAGUAUUGUUUGCCGAGUUCCUUAGUUUUAUAAUAAUUGAUUAUUAUUUCUUGUUAUUUUAGGUAUAAUAAUUCACUAUAUAAUUAUUUACUAAUAAAACCAUUAUUUCUUUAUUUUAAAGGUUUUGAUAAAUAUUUUUUUAAGAAUACAAAAAUAUUUGUAGAUAUUUAAAAAUGUAGAUUAAGUUUAAACACUUUUAACUCUAUGGCUACUUUCAAGCCUAAGAUAACUUUUAAUAAAAUUAAUUUUAUGUAAAGUUGUUACAAGAAGCUUACCCUCCUGCAUUAUAUCCUUUUUCAAAGUUUGAAAAAAGAUUAAAUUGAAUUUUUUUUAAAAAAAACCAGAUAUAUAAAACUCGACUAACGUUUCAUUACUAAGAAUAAUUUAAAAUUAUUUUGAAACAUAAACUUUAUGUAAUCUUAGCUCUUUUUUUUUCGGGAUG
rnacentral:rRNA from 1 species